CGAAACGUGGCGCAAUUGGUAGACGCGCAUGACUAAGGAUCAUGUUGUUGAGGGCCCUCGCUCCCUCCGUUUCGACCA
rnacentral:tRNA from 1 species